CGUCCCCCGAAUCACUUCCGGAAUGAUGUCAGCUCCUUCCCUUCCACGGUAACAUAAAGCAGCCUGUGUGUGCGUGGUGCAAGAUGAUCUUGUUGUAUUGGGACGUGGACUGCUUUAGUUUCUGAGAAGUCAAAUAUUGUGCAAUCAUCAGCAAACAACCCCACUUCUGAUCUUUGUGAUGGUAGGAAGGUCCUUGAUUGAUCAGCUGAAGAUGGGUGGGGCCAAGACCCUACCAUGAGCAACAUUUGCAGGGAUGUCUUGGAACUGACAUCACCUGAUUUCCAACAACCACAACCGUCUUCCUUCAUGCCAGUACUGCCUUUGUGUGUAGAGCAAAGAUUCGUGGAGAAGUGUCACCACGAGUAGACGCACAACUACUUUUGGGGACAUUGAGAAUCUUUCGCCGGCUGUCCGAUAAUAAAGCAUCUACUAUUGUGCUGAAACUUGUGACAUCCGGAUUUGUGGAACAAAAUAUACAUCACCAUUUGGUGCCAUGACUAAGACGUCAACAUAGGGAAUGUCUCACUGGGUUGAGUAAGUGAAACGCAAGUCGGAAUUGAACAGAACAGAGCAAUAAGUGUGCCUCGGGGUAUUUUACCCCAGACUGCUCCUUGUGUUCAACCAGACAAUCUGUCCCUUGCCCAGUGGAACUGGUACCUUGAAGAGGUCGAACGAACCACCUGGAUUCAGCUUGUAAGGUCGGAAAAUUUUGUCAGAUUGCUCUGAAUUGCUGCGGGUAACAUUGGCUCCUCUGUAUUGUUCCUGUAGGAAAAAGGUCGGGACCUGGAGACCCCAGUCAGGGAAGUGAUCAUCACUACCUGACAGGUUCGGUUUAGGAAGCUGCCUCUUUCAGAUAUGGCCGGUGGAAAUUACUAUAUAAGGAAAGAGGGCAGGCUCAGUAAAUUUCUCACCCCGCAGUAUGGACAGUGGAAAUUGUUUAUAGCGGAGCAAGGAGUCAUAAAGUAAAAUGGGAUAGUCCCUCUAUGUAGUUGGGAAGGGGGACAAUCUGUGAGAAAAUACCUGAUCAGGAAAAUGGUUAUAGGCCCGUCUAAGAGAUUGGUCAUUUUGGUAAUUUGUAAUAUACAAAUUAAAGGAUAUCCAGUUUGAAUUUUUGAUUGAUUGUGAUGGAAUGUGUGGUGAAAGCUUUCAUUUGAAUGGUAAAUUGAUUCCAAAACUAUGACUUAGCACUUUUAAUUGCAAUCACAUUAAAUCAAUUGAUCAAGGUGCCAGUGUUUAGGAGAAAGUGAGGACUGCAGAUGCUGGAGACCAGAGUUGAAAAGUGUGGUGUUGGAAAAG